ACGAACGCUGGUCUCCGUGCUUAAACAUGCAAGUCGAACGGUAAGGCCCCUUUGGGGGUACACGAGUUGCCCCCGGGUGAGUAACACGUGGGUGACCUGCCCCUCACUUUGGGAUAAGCCUGGGAAACUGGGUCUAAUACCGGAUAGGACCGCAUGUUGCAUGGUGUGUGGUGGAAAGGUUUUUCGGUGGGGGAUGGGCCCGCGGCCUAUCAGCUUGUUGGUGGGGUGAUGGCCUACCAAGGCUUCGACGGGUAGCCGGCCUGAGAGGGCGUCCGGCCACACUGGGACUGAGACACGGCCCAGACUCCUACGGGAGGCAGCAGUGGG
rnacentral:rRNA from 1 species